UGGAGGAGCACCAGCCUCUUAUAUCACAAGAUGGAUCCAGGAGGAGAAAUCCCCCAGAGAGAUGUCCCCGUCCUCUGAAUUCCCAGGACUGUCCAGAGGAGAAGCUCCCAGAGAACCCUCAGGUAGAUGGAGCUGAGCCCUAUACACAUCUAUAUAGGGGGGUCCUGCAGUCAUAGAGGGGUCAU